CGUGGGUUGGCUGCUGGGAUGGAAUGGAUUUCCCUCGGCAGCUCCUUCCACAGCAUUACCUGGAGAAAUCCCAAGCUGGGGCAGAGCAUCGCUGCGGUGAGGGCUCUUGCAAGGAGUGGGAGCCAUCCUGGCCUGCAGCGGUGCAGCUUUGAUCUCCCUGAGAGCACCUUGCUGGAGAUGCAUACUGUGGCUUGUUUUUCACCCACAUUUCUGACCCUGUGGGCCUCCACAAACCCGAAGGAGACCUCUUCUACUUCCCCAGACCUGCUCUGCAUGUCGUCCUGUUUGAGGGCACAGCACGGAGCUGCAGUGAUCGUCAGAGCGGAUUUCUUCCUGCACCACAACCACCUCCGCUGCGUAUGGAUCCCAAUUCGCCCUCAGGUCUGUGUGAGUCCCAUGGCCACACCGUGUCCAGGGAACCUUCUCAUGAGCCCAGCCCAGCACUGCCCGGCAGCUACUUGUACCCAACUCCUGCUGUCCAACCAUUGGUCUUCAGAGCAGUUUUCCCGGCUGGCACCAGCAUCCCACGCGCUGGGAAUGGAUCACGUAACGACACGACAUCCUGAGGUGAGAGGAACCCAUGGAGAUCACCGAGUCCAACUCCUGGCUGCACACAGGAAUGCUCAGACCCUCUAUCUGAGAGUGAUGUCCAAAUGCUUCUUGAACUCCGGCAGCUUGGGGCCGCUGCCCUGGGGAUCCUGUGCCAGGGCCCAUGUCCCUCUGGAGACGAACUUUGUCCUCACACCCAGCAGGAAUGCCAGGAGCAGCCUGGAGUGCUCCUGUCCGCUCCGAAGGACUCAGAAUACAAGGAGGAGACAAGGGCAGGAGAGCUGCAUGGAGAACCAGGAGCGGAUACAGCACCAGUGAGGAGGAGAUGGAGAGACACCCACCAGUGUCGCUGCCCUGCGCUGAUCUCCAUCCACGUGGAAGCCCCGUGCAGAGCAGAGCUGAGCAGCGCUCCGUGCCCCACAUGCAGUGCAGCUCUUGCUGUGUGACCUGUGGAUAGCGCAGGCCAUGCCGGAGGGCGGCUGUUGGGUCCGUGUUCAUCUUGUACGAGUUCAGCAGAGGGUCAGUGCUUUUAUUUACUGCGGCACCCAAACACUGCUGGGAACCGGAAUCAGAGAAUCACCGAAUGGCGAGUUGGAAGGGACCUCUAAAAGCCAUCAGUUCUCACUCCCUGCACUGAACUGGGGCACCCACAGCUCCAUCAGUGCUCAGAGCCCACCUCUGAGUUCGGCUGUCUGCAGGGAUGGGCACCACCGCCUCUCUGGGCACUCUGUGCAGUGCCAUAAAAAUCUCCUUCCUUACACCCACUCUGUAUCUCCCCUCGUUCAGUCUGAAGCCAUUUCCCCCUGUCCUAUCACACGGGCCCUGCUGAAGUCCAUCCCCUUCUUUCUUACAGCCCCUUCAGGCCCUCAGAGCUCUCAGCUCUCCUGGAGCCUUCUCUCCUCCAUGCUGCACAGCUCCAGCUCUCAGUCCAUCCUCGUACAGAGUUGUUCCAUCCCUCAGAUCCCUUCUGCUCACUGUUACCCUCAGAGAUAAGAGUGUUAAUGCUUGUUUGCUGCCCACAUCUUCCUCCGUGCCUGGCUGCAAUUUGGGCAUCCAGCAAUCACAGCAGGCAACGCUGCUUCCGUCACCCUUCCUCACUCUCUGCAGCAAUCACAGCAAGCCAUCCAAUUUCCCUGUCUUCCUGUGGCAGUGCAAGGCUAGAAGCCAUUAGUGAUUGGGUCUCGAUGUACCUCAUUCUCGGUUUAAAUAUUGAAAAGGCUUCGAAACACCUUUUCAUCCUCGUGGUUGACCUGAAAUGGUAUCUGUUGCACUGCACCGCUGUUAUUUUUUGGUGAGCUGUCAUGGUUUCUGAUUGCGGAGCGCGGAGAUGCAGCGCUCCCGAGCCCUGACACGCAGCAGGACUUGGAGUUCAUGCUGAAUAUUUCAUGCAGACACAUGCAGACAGAGGCACCAGUCUGUUUUCAGUUCUGAUUUUCUCUGCUCCUCUAGGUGCAUAAAUGAUGCAUCUUGUUUAAGCUUCCCAGUUUUGGAGGGGAGAAGAGCGCUGCCGGUCGCGUGAGGUUUGUGUGAAGCAGACCCCGUGUUUGCAGCUCCGUGAGCAGUGGGUGGGGGCAGAGGAUGGCAGCGGGCACCCACUGCAGCACAGCACGGCACGGCACGGCACGGCACAGCACGGC
ensembl:lncRNA